GACAGAGGGUGCAAACGUUGUUCGGAAUUACUGGGAGUAAAGCGCGUGUAGGCUGUCUCAUAAGUCGGGUGUGAAAGCCCUGGGCUCAACCUAGGAAGUGCACUCGAAACUGCGAGACUUGAGUCCUGGAGAGGAAGGCGGAAUUCUCGGUGUAGAGGUGAAAUUCGUAGAUAUCGAGAGGAACACCGGUGGCGAAGGCGGCCUUCUGGACAGUGACUGACGCUGAGACGCGAAAGAGUGGGGAGCAAACAGG
rnacentral:rRNA from 1 species